UCGACUAAGGUUCGAUUCGAGCGAAAGCGAGAAAGCGUUGCCGCAGGCAACGACCCGAAGGGCGAAACGCGCAGCGCUGAGUCAUCCUUCCCCCACCACCA
rnacentral:sRNA from 1 species